ensembl:piRNA 21ur-6318 ncRNA
UUCAAGAUCUGAGAGUUCUAA